UAGUCAUACGCUUGUCUCAAAGAUUAAGCCAUGCAUGUCUAAGUAUAAGUAUUAUACAGCGAAACUGCGAAUGGCUCAUUAUAUCAGUUAUAGUUUAUUUGAUAGUCCCUACUACUUGGAUAACCGUAGUAACUCUAGAGCUAAUACAUGCAUAAAAUCCCGACUCACGAAGGGAUGUAUUUAUUAGAUACAACCAACCCCGUAAGGGUUUAUGGUGAAUCAUAAUAACUGAGCGAACCGCAUGCGCGAGCGGCGGUGGUUCAUUCAAGUUUCUGCC
rnacentral:rRNA from 1 species